GUCUUCAAUAUUACCCUACAAUAAUACACUCUAUGGGCCCAUCUGCUACACACUAGCACAGGCUAUUUAAAGAAUACGAGAGAGAGAAGGAGAGAGAGAGAUUGUACAGAAAGAGGAGAAGAAGAGAGAGGGGAGAGGUUUGGAGAAGAGAGUGGGAGAGAGAUAGAUGGAAAAAGGACAAGUAACAGAGGGAGUGGGAGAGAGUGUGAAAGACAUGCAAAGACAUUGAAAUAUGAGGACCUGAGCCCUAGGACCAUGCCUCAGGACUACCUGGCCUGAUGACUCCUUGCUGUCCCCAGUCCACCUGUGCUGCUGCUCCAGUUUCAACUGUUCUGCCUGCGACUAUGGAACCCUGACCUGUUCACCGGACGUGCUACCUGUCCCAGACCUGCUGUUUUCAACUCUCUAGAGCCAGCAAGUGCGGUAGAGAUACUCUGAAUGAUCGGCUAUGAAAAGCCAACUGACAUUUACUCCUGAGGUGCUGACCUGUUGCACCCUCGACAACCACUGUGAUUAUUAUUAUCUGACCCUGCUGGUCAUCUAUGAACAUUUGAACAUCUUGGCCAUGUUCUGUUAUAAUCACCACCCGGCACAGCCAGAAGAGGACUGGCCACCCCUCAUAGCCUGGUUCCUCUCUAGGUUUCUUCCUAGGUUCCGGCCAUUCUAGGGAGUUUUUCCUAGCCACCAUGCUUCUACACCUGCAUUGCUUGCUAUUUGGGGUUUAAGACUGGGUUUCUGUACUGCACUUUGUGACUAAUCAGCUAAUUUAAGAAGGGCUUUAUAAAUACAUUUGAUUGA